CCCCCGAUAGCUCAGUUGGAAGAGCGCGAGACUGUAAUGGAUACUAGGAAAUUGUCAUCUUGAGGUCGCUGGUUCGAUCCCGGCUCGGGGGA
rfam:Puccinia sorghi strain RO10H11247 Scaffold_3053, whole genome shotgun sequence.